GGACGUAAGGGCUAUCUGGCUGUGACACCGUCACCCCAGUAACCGUUGGGGUUGAUGUGUCUGAUCUAGUUGUCUAGACAUGGGUCCCUUUCCUCCCUCACCACUCCACAUACUUCCCUCCCAACACUGAGAUAUCCAUUGUGCAAGGCAGGCACAGUCAGAGGCUACUUCUCUCCAUUGUCAAUUGAAACUUUAUGGUGCAAAUUGAGCAUGCGUAGAGGCCUUCCUGUCCAUCAUUUUAAUCUCUAUGACCAUAAACGGAGCCUGCUUAGGAAUGGGCUAACCCCUAUAU
rnacentral:sRNA from 14 species